UUCUAAAGGGUUCACAAACUUUCAAGCACCACUGUACACGACCGUUCAAAAGUUUGGGGUCACCCAGACAAUUUUGGUUUGCUGGUCACCAGGACAAACUGGUUUUAGACCAGUACACGUUGUGUUUUUGCUGGUCACCUGGACAAACUGGCUUUAGACCAGUACACUGUGUACCCACGCCCGGAUCACCGCACAGGCUUCAUAUGGCUUCAGCCUAGGGGCCCCCACGCCCCCCGCCUCGCAGGGGGGCCCCCAAUUGAUCAGAAGAAAAAACCCUUCAUAUUCAUGUUGCAAUACAUGUAAUGGAAUAGGCGUGUGUGCGUAAAGUUAUAGUAAACCGCCCCCCGCCUUUUUUUUUUUUUGAGUCGCCGGACCCACCCACCUCCUGCGUUCUGGGACCUCCCACUUCACAAAUUAAGCACUGAGUACACGUUGUGUUUUUGCUGGUCACCUGGACAAACUGGCUUUAGACCAGUACACGUUGUGUUUUUGCUGGUCACCUGGACAAACUGGUUUUAGACCAGUACACAUUGUGUUUUUGCUGGUCACCUGGACAAACUGGUUUUAGACCAGUACACGUUGUGUUUUUGCUGGUCACCUGGACAAACUGGUUUUAGACCAGUACACGUUGUGUUUUUGCUGGUCACCAGGACAAACUGGUUUUAGACCAGUACACGUUGUGUUUUUGCUGGUCACCUGGACAAACUGGCUUUAGACCAGUACACGUUGUGUUUUUGCUGGUCACCUGGACAAACUGGCUUUAGACCAGUACACGUUGUGUUUUUGCUGGUCACCUGGACAAACUGGCUUUAGACCAGUACACGUUGUGUUUUUGCUGGUCACCUGGACAAACUGGCUUUAGACCAGUACACGUUGUUUUUUUGCUGGUCACCUGGACAAACUGGCUUUAGACCAGUACACGUUUACUGUAAAAAAUAGAACUUCAUUUUUUUCUGCCCACACGUUGAUAUGAGUAAACAGAACUAAGAUGACAAGAAAACACUAUUAACUCGCAAUAAGAAGUUGUCAUAUCAAGUUCUGAAUGUAUUCAUCUGGAGACUUCUAUAACUAAGUGAGCUCAACUUGUCCGGAAAAACGGGGCACGCAACGGGGUUUCCCCGAGCCAGGAGCGGCUGAUAACGUCCGAAGCGGCUCGAGGGGCACUAGAGACCCAACUCCACGCACGCUUUUGGAAGUGGAUCAAAUUCAGAAGCUCAUCCCUCGCGUCAUCAUCAGGAACGAAGAGAGUGUAAAUUCAUCCACCCGGAUGUCCAGACCCUGCUGAAACAUUAUCACCUGAGACACCGAGGGGGUCAUCAAGAUGCCACGGUUAAAUCCAGAUGACAGAUGGCGGGCCCUCGGCAUGGUGCAAGCCAGCCUAAGUUUUUCAGAAGUUGGGCGUCGAUUGAAUGUCCAAACCCUGCCAUGGCCUGCGUAUUCACCUGAUCUCAAUCCCAUUGAGCAUUUAUGGGAUCACCUUGGUGUUCAGAUCCAGAACCGUGUUCCUCGUCCCAUGAACAGAGGUCAACUGAUCCAGGCUCUUCAAGAGGAGUGGCAGGCCAUUCCACAAGACAGGAUUCACCGUUUGAUACACAGUAUGCGUCGCAGACUGACGGCUUGUAUUGCUGUUGGUGGGGACAAUACUCGGUACUGAAGCUGCAACUUUCCAAUUACAGGGUAUCCAUUUUGUUCGGACUGUACAUUAUCAAAGCUCACAACAAUUGUGAUUUUUUGUUUAUUCAUCUCGAGUUAAAUGUCAGUAUAUUGAUCUGUAAGCUUCUAGUACAUGAUUUCAUAGCUUAUGAAUAAAAUUAUU